GGAGCUGUGGCGUAGCAGGUAAAGCCUUGGCCUGCAGUGCCAGCAUCCCAUAAGGGUUCUGGUUCAAGUCCAGCUGCUCCA
rnacentral:tRNA from 1 species